AUAAACUUGGCGGUCCUUUAUACAUCAUAUGUAUCCAAAUAACCAUAUUAUCCGAUUUCAGCAGAACUUGCUGGUUUUUUGGCGUGUUCCUGAAGGCGGCAUUCGAAAACUUUAGCGAAACUAUUGAGGAGUGCGCCACUGGCCUCCUCGACAGGAAAAUGUCUGUCCAGCUCUUUGCUGAGCGAGGUGACCCCCUUGCCUUCGAUUCCGCAGGGCACAAUGUGCUCAAACCACUGCAGAUCCGUGCAGCAAUUGAGGCCGAUUCCAUGCGUGGUGACGUAACGCGAGCCGUGGAUACCGAUGGCACAGAUCUUGUUGUCACCCACCCAGAUACCGGUGUCCUUGGUCGCCUUGGCACUGGAAAUGCCCAUCUGGUGGCAGGCCUCGACAACCAUCCGCUCCAACGUCGCCACGUACCAGCGGAUGCUCGGCACGAACUGACCCAGGUGCAGAAUGGGAUAGGCCACCAACUGGCCGGGGCCGUGAAAUGUGAUCAAGCCACCGCGAUCUGUGCGAUGGAAGUCUGCUCCUAGCCGGCGGAGUCGGUCUUCAUCCUGCGCCGUAUAGUCCUUUGUCCUUAGUCCGACUGUGUAGACCGGGUCGUGCUCCUGAAGCACCAGGUAGUUUCGGAACUCCGCUGGCGGAUUCAGGAUCUGGUUGGACCUUGCAAGACGUUGCUGUAGCUGUAAUCCUGCUGAAUAGCUAUGCCGCCCGGCCCGCACCACGGUCACCAGCGGUCGGACAAAAGGCAUUUUUUUAAUUGUUUAAAAAUCAUUUGACUGCAACGUUUAAAACAACAAAUAUUAACCAGGGCUGCACGAUCAGCGGGUUCAUCAAUAUAUGUAUCUUCAAAAACGGCUGAUUGGUGGCAAUGG
ensembl:ncRNA asRNA:CR44134 antisense RNA:CR44134